rnacentral:rRNA from 1 species
UGGGGAAUAUUGGACAAUGGGCGCAAGCCUGAUCCAGCCAUGCCGCGUGAGUGAUGAAGGCCUUAGGGUUGUAAAGCUCUUUCACCGGAGAAGAUAAUGACGGUAUCCGGAGAAGAAGCCCCGGCUAACUUCGUGCCAGCAGCCGCGGUAAUACGAAGGGGGCUAGCGUUGUUCGGAUUUACUGGGCGUAAAGCGCACGUAGGCGGAUCGAUCAGUCAGGGGUGAAAUCCCAGAGCUCAACUCUGGAACUGCCUUUGAUACUGUCGAUCUGGAGUAUGGAAGAGGUGAGUGGAAUUCCGAGUGUAGAGGUGAAAUUCGUAGAUAUUCGGAGGAACACCAGUGGCGAAGGCGGCUCACUGGUCCAUUACUGACGCUGAGGUGCGAAAGCGUGGGGAGCAAACA